GACGAACGCUGGCGGCAGGCUUAACACAUGCAAGUCGAGCGAGCGGCGGACGGGUGAGUAGUGUCUGGGAAACUGCCUGAUGGAGGGGGAUAACUAAUGGAAACGGUAGCUAAUACCGCAUACCAUCAGAUGUGCCCAGAUGGGAUUAGCUAGUAGGUGAGGUAAGGGCUCACCUAGGCGACGAUCCCGAGCUGGUCUGAGAGGAUGACCAGCCACACGGGGACUGAGACACGGGCCAGACUCCUACGGGAGGCAGAAGUGGGGAAUAUUGGACAAUGGGCGCAAGCCUGACGCAGCCAUGCCGCGUGUGUGAAGAAGGCCUUCGGGUUGGAAAUCACUUUCAGCGAGGAGGCGUUACUCGCAGAAGAAGCACCGGCUAACUCCGUGCCAGCAGCCGCGGUAAUAC
rnacentral:rRNA from 1 species